GCGCGGUUAGUUUAGUGGUUAGAAUCCUCGCUUCCCAUCACCUCUUGGUCUAGCGAGGGACCCGGGUUCGAAUCCCGGAUCGCGCA
rfam:Podospora anserina genomic DNA, chromosome 1.